rnacentral:rRNA from 1 species
CCUACGGGAGGCAGCAGUGAGGAAUAUUGGUCAAUGGGCGCGAGCCUGAACCAGCCAAGUCGCGUGAGGGAAGACGGUCCUAUGGAUUGUAAACCUCUUUUGUCGGGGAGCAAAAGACGCCACGCGUGGCGCUCCGAGAGUACCCGACGAACAAGCAUCGGCAAACCCCGUGCCAGCAGCCGUGGUAAUACGGGGGAUGCGAGCGUUAUCCGGAUUUAUUGGGUUUAAAGGGUGCGCAGGCGGAAGAUCAAGUCAGCGGUAAAAUUGAGAGGCUCAACCUCUUCGAGCCGUUGAAACUGGUAGACUUGAGUGAGCGAGAGGUAGGCGGAAUGCGUGGUGUAGCGGUGAAAUGCGUAGAUAUCGCGAAGAACUCCGGUUGCGAAGGCAGGAUACCGGAGCUCAACUGACGCUCAUGCACGAAGGUGAGGGUAUCGAACGGGAUUAGAUACCCCUGUAGUC